rnacentral:rRNA from 1 species
UACGUAGGGUGCAAGCGUUGUCCGGAAUUAUUGGGCGUAAAGAGCUCGUAGGCGGUUUGUCGCGUCUGCUGUGAAAAUCCAGGGCUUAACCCUGGACCUGCAGUGGGUACGGGCAGACUGGAGUGCGGUAGGGGAGAUCGGAAUUCCUGGUGUAGCGGUGAAAUGCGCAGAUAUCAGGAGGAACACCGGUGGCGAAGGCGGAUCUCUGGGCCGUAACUGACGCUGAGGAGCGAAGCAUGGGGAGCGAACAGG